GUGAGGAAUAUUGGUCAAUGGGCGGAAGCCUGAACCAGCCAAGUAGCGUGCAGGAUGACGGCCCUAUGGGUUGUAAACUGCUUUUAUACGGGGAUAAAGUGCGCCACGUGUGGAGCAUUGCAGGUACCGUAUGAAUAAGGACCGGCUAAUUCCGUGCCAGCAGCCGCGGUAAUACGGAAGGUCCGGGCGUUAUCCGGAGUUAUUGGGUUUAAAGGGAGCGCAGGCCGGAAGCAAAGCGUGCCGUGAAAUGUAGAUGCUCAACAUCUGAAUUGCGGCGCGAACUGGUUUUCUUGAGUGCAUACGAGGUAGGCGGAAUUUGUGGUGUAGCGGUGAAAUGCUUAGAUAUCACGAAGAACUCCGAUUGCGAAGGCAGCCUACCAGGAUGUAACUGACGCUAAAGCUCGAAAGUGCGGGUAUCGAACAGGAUUAGAUACCCCAGUAGUCC
rnacentral:rRNA from 1 species